rnacentral:rRNA from 1 species
GUUGUAUAGUCAAGUAAUUAAGUGCAUGUGGUGGAUGCCUUGGCAGUCAGAGGCGAUGAAAGACGUGAUAGCCUGCGAAAAGCUCCGGGGAGGCGGCAAAUAUCCUUUGAUCCGGAGAUGUCUGAAUGGGGGAACCCACCUACUUUAAGGUAGGUAUUGCAACAUGAAUACAUAGUGUUGCAAGGCGAACGAGGGGAAGUGAAACAUCUCAGUACCCUUAGGAAAAGAAAUCAAUUGAGAUUCCCUCAGUAGCGGCGAGCGAACGGGGAUCAGCCCAUUAAGUUAUGUGUGUUUUAGUGGAACGCUCUGGGAAGUGCGAACGUAGAGGGUGAUAUUCCCGUACACGAAAGGGCACACAUAAUGAUGACGAGUAGGGCGAGGCACGUGAAACCUUGUCUGAAUAUGGGGGGACCAUCCUCCAAGGCUAAAUACUCCUGACUGACCGAUAGUGAACCAGUACCGUGAGGGAAAGGCGAAAAGAACCCCUGUGAGGGGAGUGAAAUAGAUCCUGAAACCGCAUGCAUACAAGCAGUGGGAGCACCUUCGUGGUGUGACUGCGUACCUUUUGUAUAAUGGGUCAGCGACUUAUAUUCAGUAGCGAGGUUAACCGUAUAGGGGAGCCGUAGAGAAAUCGAGUCUUAAUAGGGCGUUUAGUUGCUGGGUAUAGACCCGAAACCAGGCGAUCUAUCCAUGAGCAGGUUGAAGGUUGGGUAACACUAACUGGAGGACCGAACCCACUGUCGUUGAAAAGCCAGGGGAUGACUUGUGGAUAGGGGUGAAAGGCUAAUCAAGCCUGGUGAUAGCUGGUUCUCCCCGAAAGCUAUUUAGGUAGCGCCUCGGACGAA